UCCGGUUUGUCACCGGCAGUCCCAUUAGAGUGCCCAACUGAAUGUAGCAACUAAUGGCAAGGGUUGCGCUCGUUGCGGGACUUAACCCAACAUCUCACGACACGAGCUGACGACAGCCAUGCAGCACCUGUGCAAAUGUUCCGAAGAAGGGCCCCUGUUUCCAGAAGCUUUCAUCUGCAUGUCAAACCUAGGUAAGGUUCUUCGCGUUGCAUCGAAUUAAGCAACAUGCUCCACCGCUUGUGCGGGUCCCCGUCAAUUCCUUUGAGUUUUAACCUUGCGGCCGUACUCCCCAGGCGGUCGACUUCACGCGUUAGCUUCGUUACUGAGAGUGUCAAACCCCCAACAACCAGUCGACAUCGUUUAGGGCGUGGACUAC
rnacentral:misc_RNA from 1 species